ACGGGUGAGUAAUAUAUCGGAACGUGCCCAAUCGUGGGGGAUAACGUAGAGAAAUUUACGCUAAUACCGCAUACGAUCUAAGGAUGAAAGCGGGGGAUCGCAAGACCUCGCGCGAUUGGAGCGGCUGAUAUCAGAUUAGGUUGUUGGUGAGGUAAAAGCUCACCAAGCCGACGAUCUGUAGCUGGUUUGAGAGAACGACCAGCCACACUGGGACUGAGACACGGCCCAGACUCCUACGGGAGGCAGCAGUGGGGAAUUUUGGACAAUGGGCGAAAGCCUGAUCCAGCAAUGCCGCGUGCAGGAAGAAGGCCUUCGGGUUGUAAACUGCUUUUGUACGGAACGAAACGGCUCUUUCUAAUAAAGAGGGCUAAUGACGGUACCGUAAGAAUAAGCACCGGCUAACUACGUGCCAGCAGCCGCGGUAAUACGUAGGGUGCGAGCGUUAAUCGGAAUUACUGGGCGUAAAGCGUGCGCAGGCGGUUAUAUAAGACAGUUGUGAAAUCCCCGGGCUCAACCUGGGAAUUGCAUCUGUGACUGUAUAGCUAGAGUACGGUAGAGGGGGAUGGAAUUCCGCGUGUAGCAGUGAAAU
rnacentral:rRNA from 2 species